AACCGUUCAAAGAAACUGACGGAGCCGUCGUUGUCAGACGCCUGUCAAUCAGUCGCGUUCACCGUGACCGAGUCGUCGUCGUCGCUUGACCGCCGGCCCUCGUCGGCCUGGCGGCGGUGGCAACGGCUGACCUGAGAAUCGGUUGCGAGCGAUGCACUUGUCGAUCGCAGGCGCCACGAGCAGCGCUUGGCAGUUGCGCUUCGAGGCCUAGUCGCUUAGGGAUAACGCGGUCGUCGAGGCUUUGGACUUCUUCGUCCUUGGUCUUUGGCGAUCGGUCGGCGGCACAAGGUCCACUGGCAACGGUCAUUGCCGACGCUGUUCUGUUGUUUGGCGGCCACGGUUGCCCUGCUUGGUGUGCCAAGCGAUUCUCGAAAGGGCGAGCCUUGCAUUGCGACGGCAGCAGUCCUGACAAAGCGCGCUCUUGGCGCAGAUCAUUUUGACCGGUCGUUUAAUUUUCAGCCUGCAAAGGUUGGGUUGGCGAUUUGCAUGGUCUCGUCGAGGCGCGGCUACUGUUGUUCAAUGUUGGCACCCGUUGGCCAUUCUGUGGCGUUUUCGUGACGGUCACCCGUCAGACCCGUCUUGAAACACGGACCAAGGAGUGCAGCAGUUGCGCGAGUCAUUGACACGUUUUGACGGUCAAAGGCGUAACGAAAGUGACCCGUUCCAUAUGGGUGUGUAGAGCCGUACAUGUACACCUUGCCGGGUGUACGGCGCAUACAGGAGCCGUUCGAAUCGUCGUCGCCAGUGGCCCUCGUGGUCGCCGGUGACCGAUGCAACGGAUUCGGAGCGCACAUGCUGCUACCCGAAAGAUGGUGAACUAUGCCUGAGCAGGAUGAAGCCAGAGGAAACGCUGGUGGAAGUUCGAAGCGGUGUGACGUGCAAAUCACUC
rnacentral:rRNA from 1 species